rnacentral:rRNA from 1 species
CCUACGGGAGGCAGCAGUGGGGAAUUUUGCGCAAUGCUCGUAAGAGUGACGCAGCGACGCCGCGUGAAUGACGAAGGCCUUCGGGUCGUAAAGUUCUGUCGACAGGGAAGAACAUGCAUAUAAGUAACUGUCUAUGUAUUGACGGUACCUGUAUAAGCAGCACCGGCUAACUCCGUGUCAGCAGCCGCGGUAAUACGGAGGGGGCGAGCGUUGUUCGGAGUUACUGGGCGUAAAGAGCACGUAGGCGGUGUUGUAAGUCAUUGGUCAAAGACCAGAGCUCAACGUUAGUAAGGCUAGUGAUACUAUAAUACUGGAGUAUCAGAGAGGAUAGCAGAAUUCCAGGUGUAGGAGUGAAAUGCGUAGAUAUCAGGAGGAAUACCGGUAGCGAAGGCGACAAUCUGGCAGGAAACUGACGCUGAGGUGCGAAAGCGUGGGUAGCAAACAGGAUUAGAUACCCGAGUAGUC